GUUGUACUCCCUCCAUUCGGAAUUACUUGUCACAAAAAUGAAUGUAUCUACAACUAAAAUACAUCUAGAUACAUUCAUUUCUUGGACGAGUAAUUCCGAACGGAGGGAGUACUAC
rnacentral:pre_miRNA from 1 species